rnacentral:tmRNA from 1 species
GGGACUGACAGGAUUUCUACAUUUUGAUAUUUAAUUUAUGUUAUAUUUAACUAGUUACAUUAACAACUAUCUCUUAUAUUAAGUCAUAGUAUAAAAAUAAAUAGAAUUUACUCGCUAAACAUAACAUUAUGUCCUUUUCUAAAAAAUUACUAAUUGUAUAAAUUUUUAGAACUUUAAAUUUAGUUUUCUUUAUUAAAUUUAUUAAGUUAUUUAAAGAAUGCUCUAAUUGUAAGAUUAAAUUUUAAUUAUUUAAGAGACAAUUAGUAAAGUAUCAAAUAUAUUAAUUAGAAUCUAUUAGUUAAAUCUUGGAAACUUAAUAAUUAUAUCAAUAUGGACGUGGGUUCAAAUCCCACCAGUUCCA